rnacentral:rRNA from 1 species
ACCGCGAGCCCAGGUCAGCCGGGACCUAAGGA